ACGUACUUUUUCCGGCUUGGCAGACGGCUCCAGGCUCACUGUUUUGCUCCUGAGUCUCACAGUAUCCCCUACUCAUUCUCCAUCGCCGAAACCAUGUGGCUGCGCGCUUUCUCUUUCCUGGUUCCCUGAUUCUAUCUCCGCUAUUAGCUCUGCUUAUCUCUACCUCUCUUUUUUCUCCUCUUUUGUCUUACAAAUUUGGAAAAACACUUCGAUCUUUUUUCUUCAUAUGUUUGUCCGAUGGGGGGUCUAUUGAUUGCUCCCAUGAGUUCUCCAUUCGAUCCACUGCCAUGCAUUUCGUCCUGACAUGUAUCAAUCUCUGGGCGCGCACCGCCUCGUAUACCGUGCUCGCAUUGCCUUUUGUGUUAAGACCGGUCUAAUCGAAAACGCUAUCCAAAUGUUCGACGAAAUGACUCAAUCAAAUUGCCGUGUUUUUAGCGUCGACUUUAACCGAUUGAUUGGCGUUUUAAUCCGCCAUUCUCUCUUUGAUUUUGCCCACCAAUACUACACUAAAAUGGGUCCUCUUGGGUUCUCGCUUUCUCCCUUUACUUAUUCUCGCUUCAUUUCGGGUUUAUGCCAAGUAAAGAACUUUACGCUUAUUAACGAGUUGCUGCAUGACAUGGAGAAACUUAAUUAUGUACCUGAUUUUUGGGCAUUUAAUAUUUAUUUGAAUCUCUUAUUUCGUGAAGGUAUGAUAGAAUUAGCCUUAGAGGUGUUUGAGAGGAUGGUCGAGAGAGGAAGGGAGCCUGAUGUUGUAACAUAUACUAUUAUUGUUGACGGGUUGUGUAAAAUAAAGAAAUACAAUACUGCAAUUUGGUUUUGGCGUGAUAUGAUAAAUAAGGGAUUAAGACCCGAUAAUAAAGCCUGUUAUGCGCUUGUUGUUGGGUUGUGCGGUGGGGGGAAGGUAGAAUUGGCUUAUGAGCUCACAAUUGAUGUGAUGAAGAGUGGUCAAGUUAAGUUUAGUACGACGAUAUACAAUACCUUGAUUAGUGGGUUUUGUAGAGCCGGUAGGAUUGAUAAGGCUCGGGCGAUUAAAUCUUUUAUGAGAAGAAAUGGUUCUGAGCCAGAUUUGGUUACAUACAAUGUGUUGUUGAAUUAUUGUUGUGAUGAGCUAAUGUUGGAGGAGGCGGAGAAGUUGAUAAAGAAGAUGGAAAGAAGUGGGAUAGAACCUGAUGUGUACAGUUACAAUCAGCUUCUUAAAGGAUUUUGUAAAGCUAAUCGGCCAGAUGAAGCUUAUUUAUUGAUGAACAAAAUGGGGUCAAAAGGGUUGUGUGAUGUUGUUUCAUACAAUACUAUUAUUAAAGCAUUUUGCGAGGGAAGUGAUGUCAGAAGAGCUUAUAAGCUGUUCCAGGAAAUGAGGCAGAAGGGGAUUCCACCAGAUUUGGUUACAUUCACUAUACUUGCAAAAGCUUUGCUUAGACAGGGUUUUUCUAAUAUAGCAAAGAAGCUUGUUGAUCAGAUGACAGAAAUAGGUCUUUCACCUGAUCGUAUAUUUUAUACAACUAUUAUGGAUCACCUAUGCAAGAGUGGGAAAGUAGAUAUGGCUCACACCCUUUUUUGUGAUAUGAUAGAACAGGGAAUUUCACCUGAUGUGACUGCAUAUAAUGCCCUUAUAAAUGGGUUUUGCAAAGCCUUUAGAGUAAGUGAAGCUUUGCAUUUAUUUGAAGAAAUGGAAAGCAGAGGAUACUAUCCGGAUGAAGUAACAUACAAAUUGAUCAUUGGAGGUCUUAUCGCAGAAAAGAAGCUGUCAGUUGCUUGUAGGGUGUGGGGUCAAAUGAUGGAGAAGGGUCUCACCCUUGAUAGAGCUUCCUCUGAGACAUUGAUUAGCGCCAGUUCAAGAGAAUUUGCUUCUACGUGAGAAAUGCCCAAAUUGUGGCAUUCAUUGGUAGGAAUACAUCUCAUCAGGUCUGCGAUGUUGGAAACUCAUUGCCUUCUUGGUGAAUUGCCAUGGUGGUGCACACAGUGCAUGAUGGGAUUCGGUGCUUUUAGAUCAGAUAAUUCAAAACAGCACAACCUUAAUAUAAACCAAUUAAAAGCAAAGAAUAGAGCUGAGUCGCACUUCUGUUGACUGAAAUUCCGUAGCUAUUCCAUGUUUGGCAAUAUCAAUAUUAGACAAAAAUGCCAAAAUUGACUGCAACUGAUUUCUCCAAAUGAGACCACCGAACUGUACAGACGACCGAGGUGUCAAGAAAUUAAAAGUGCGAAGCUACGCGUAACAGGCAGCACUUGUCAUUUUGCAGGCAUGAUAUGCAUUUCAAGUGCCAGGACUGAGUGUAGAUCAUGAAUAUUCCAAAGUCAAUAAAACAGAGAAUUUGUAUGCU